UGGAGUGGUGGGAGCUGCCGGUGGCCCCAGGCACUGUCCCCUGAGGAGCUGCUGAGGGACGCUGUCCUGAAGACCUUGAGGCCAGCCAGACACUGCCAGGAGCCAGCAGGGAGAAGCUGAAGGCCAGGAGCGAGAGCAGUGAACAGGGAGCUGCUGCUGCCACCUCGAGAGCCUGGAUGUCCCAUCUGCUGUCCCUGUCCAGGAGAGCUGCUGUGCACAGGAGCAAGAGACAGAGGGAGAGGCUUUGUAGAUGGGGGGAGGCUGAGUUCCCUCUGUUUAAAGAAGAAUGGACUUAUACAUAAAGAGGGAUAAUUAUGUGGAUAUUUAUAUAUGUAUAUAUGUAUAUUCCUAUUUGUAUAGGAAUAUUUCCUAUAUAUGUUUUUCUAUUUAUGGAUGUAUUCUUUGUACAUAUGUAUGGAUCUAUACACAUCCAUGUUUAUAAUUACAUAUGUGUAUAUAAGUAUACAUAUAUGUUGUUAUAGUUGUGUUAAAAUCUGUCUUCUAUGUAUACAGUUGUGUGGGUAUCUAUUUCUGUUGAUGCAAUUAUAGUGCUUUGCCUCUUUAAAUAGGUAUAUUGGUAUUUGCAUAGGUAGAUAUGUGUAUUUUUAUAUUUUUAUCUGUGAAUUGACAUUUCUAUGUGGAAUUAUAUAUGUAUCCAGAUGUAUAGGUGUACAUUUCUACUGAUGCAGUUGUAUGGAUAUCUAGCUUGAUAUUUUUAUACUUAUAAAAAUUUAUAAUUUUUUUAUAUAGGUCUGUUUUAUAUAUAUAUGUUUAUUUAUAUUGUAUGUAAUAUUUAAUCCAUAUGUACUUCUGUAGAUAGUUAUAGUUAUACACAUUUAUAUGUAUUUGUGUAUAGCUGUGUAUUUAGUUCCAUUGAAAUGUGUAUGGAGUGGUAGAGUUGUAUAGUUCUGUCAGCUGUGAUCACUAUUUGUACAAUGUUAUUUAGAAAGGGAAAGCAUAUUUUUGUAUUUCUAUAUGGGCCGUAUGUUUUUAGUAAUAAAUUGUUAAACAUCUAAUUGAUUUUUAUGUAUCGUGAGUUAUAGAGGCUGGAAAUAAAUUAUGAUUUGUUAAUAUAAUUUAAUUUGGUACUUGUAUAUUUCUAUAUUCUUGCAUAACAAUAUUUGUAUAUUUUUACAUAGCAUUGUUCUAAUAAUCUAAUAAAUGCCUUUUUUGACCCUUAA